rnacentral:rRNA from 1 species
AGUGAACGCUGGCGGUAGGCCUAACACGCACGUCGAACGGCAGCACAGUAAGAGCUUGCUCUUACGGGUGGCGAGUGGCGGACGGGUGAGGAAUACAUCGGAAUCUACUUUUUCGUGGGGGAUAACGUAGGGAAACUUACGCUAAUACCGCAUACGACCUACGGGUGAAAGCAGGGGAUCUUCGGACCUUGCGCGAUUGAAUGAGCCGAUGUCGGAUUAGCUAGUUGGCGGGGUAAAGGCCCACCAAGGCGACGAUCCGUAGCUGGUCUGAGAGGAUGAUCAGCCACACUGGAACUGAGACACGGUCCAGACUCCUACGGGAGGCAGCAGUGGGGAAUAUUGGACAAUGGGCGCAAGCCUGAUCCAGCCAUACCGCGUGGGUGAAGAAGGCCUUCGGGUUGUAAAGCCCUUUUGUUGGGAAAGAAAAGCAGCAGGUUAAUACCCCGCUGUUCUGACGGUACCCAAAGAAUAAGCACCGGCUAACUUCGUG